GGCUGACGGUGCACAUGCACUUGGCGCCUUGUGCACGUUUGGACGAGGGUUUAAUGGAGACACGUGGGAAGAGGCUUGGUCCCUGGUGGACCCCCCAAAAAAGCCUUUUGGGGUGGCCCAGCGGGUGUUCGGGGUUGGGAAGGAAGAAAGAGUGUGAGUGUGUGAAUGUCUGUCCUAAGGAAGAGAAGGAUGGCUAAAGGAGACUUGAUUUUCUUGGAUUUGCUGCAAUUCCUUAAACCAAACCAGUCUUUCGAGGCCUUAAAGUAAAUUACGGGUGGCAGUGCAGAAGCCAAAAUGGGAGCUUCUAGAAGUGGUUUCUGAAAAAUAAGACCGCAUAUACACAAGUAAGCAAGCACAGGAAUCUGAAAAAACCACAGGUCAAGAUACAGAACAUUUCAAGCGCCCCAGAAGAUUUCCUCCUUUUUACACUUCUGGUCAGUUUUCAUCCCACUUCCAACCUGAAGUAACCAUUCUAAUGGAUGUGAGGUGAUCCUUAUGGUUUUAAUUUGUUUCCUGGCUGUGGAUGGAAUGUCUUGCAAAUGGAGUUGACUUCAUAUUAGAAUUACCUGCAAACUCCACAAACAAUGGAGAAACUGAGUCCUGAAAGGUUGCAACAUCCUUGAAGAACUAAAGUAGCAUAUGGCUUAUUCAGGAGGUAAAGAUGAGAACGGCUUCUACUUAGUUGGUGCCCUGUUGAAGAGAAAUGCUUUUGCUCAGCUCGGAAUGAAAUGCAGAUAACCCUUUAGAAAACUUUUGUAGGAAAGCACCUCGUGUGAUCUGGAACAAAGACAUUAUAUAAUCAGAUUUAUCAAGCUGUGAAGAGGGAGUUGUAGCGAACAGAAGCAGCAUUCUGUCACCAGGAAAUACUGCUUUAUCCAGAAUUGAGCUCCUGCCCAGAAGUUCUGCUGAUCAUCUAACUGCUGGUACUUGUAGGUGCCCUCAGUGGCUCAGUAGUCAGUGUAGAUCCUGUCUUUUAUAAUCAGUAGCUACAUCUGGCUACUGGGUCUCUGAUGGCAUCUUUGAGCUUCUAUUAUACUAUCCUGAGCCAAAGUUAUUGGAAAACUUUACCUUGAUUUAUACACACAGAACUAAGUUAUGGGGUGGUAAGUCUUCCAUUAUUAGCCAGAAUGUGUGGACCAUUAAGGUUUUAUAAAUGAUGUCAUGUGUUUGAUUUCAACACCAGAAGUGGGAGAGAUCUAGAUAUUUUAUCCAUGGAUUGAUUUUCUCUCUUCCCCCUGUGGAUGGUCGAUCUCUCUCUCUCUCUCUCUCUCUCUCUCUCUCUCCCCAUCCCCUCGUUUCUCCCUUCCUCUCUCCCUCUCAAUCAUUUGAUCACAAAACUACCUACCUAUUUACUUGUCUGUCUUAUCCACCCAUCCAUCUUUUUUAUCUCUGGACCUUUAAAUGGCAUUCUCAUAAUAAUGUGAUGAUUAAAUAAUGACAACUGGAUGUUAUGACAAUAUAAGGAAAUUUCACUGGCAGUAUGUAAGUCCUAGCAGUGCAUUCUGACUUGCGGUUGUCUUUUCCCUGUGGUAGAGAGAACAAGUAUCAGAAACAGCAGGCAACUGUGUGAGGACUUGCAGGCCCAACAUCCAGGUCUGGGGCUUGAACCUGGCAUACAAUGUAGAUUUCUGUGUUUGUUAAGCAACAGCUACAUUGUCUGCUGGGUUUCAGGCUACCUGGAAACAUGUUCUUCAUGCCUGUCUCACCAGUGCUUCUUCACCUGUGCUGUUUUGGAAUAACUGUUUUCCAGGAAGCAUAAACCAGUGGGCUUUAUCAUUGAACAGAGUGCAGAGAAAGGACGCCAUGAACGCUGAUCACCAUAGCAAAGAAUGACCUUAUUUUAUCCAAGAUGGUCUUACCCACCAGCCUAGGAAACCGAAUGAGCCAGAGACAAGAUGUAAUGCUAUCCUUCCUUCUCUCUGCCUCAACUCUAAUCAUUGACCAUUGUUUCUAUUCAUAAUUGCUAUCAGAAGUCAUAGCACAGCCCUGUAACUUUUGUGAAUGAUUCUCAGUUUCACCAGAAUCUAUCUCUCUCACUCUGCCCCAACAUUCCACCCUGUCAUUUUUCCCUGAAGUGAACUUUGGAAUUUAAGUAAACUGGAUUUUUUUAACUGCUGUUCACCAUCUCUUAUGAAACCGGAAGACAAGCAAUUUUCCUAUGGAAUGACAGAUAACUUGUAAAGAUAAAACAUCAGUUUGCAGAAGGAAAGAAGAGAAUGAAAAUAUCUUUUAGAAAAUCAUUUUUACAUUGUACUUUGUUUUUCCGCUGCUGGUAAAUAUAUUUAAUCCUCUAAAUAUUAAAAAAAACUAACAAUUUAAACUAUUAAAUUCUCCAUCAUAAAGGAACGUAACUUUAAGGAGAAGUUAUAAACCCUUGGUUAUAUGAACUAGGGAUUUUUAGUAAGAAAUUAUAUGUAUUUUAAUUAAUAUGAAAUAACAUUUAAGGUAGAAAACGAAUAUAAGGAAUGCAAGGAUAAAUGCCUGUAUGUACAAACAAGACAAACAAAACUCAUAGACACAGACAACAGUAUGGGGCUUACCAGAGGGAAAGGGAGGUGGAGGAAUAGUGAAAGGUAGAGAGGGUUGACUCUGGUUAUGGAAGGAGAUUUGACUUUGGGUGCUGGGCACACAAUGCAAUAUACAGAUGAUGUAUCACAGAAAUGUAUACUUGAAACCUAUAUAAUGUUAUUAAUGAAUGUCAUCCCAAUACAUUUAAGAAAAAUUAAAAUGUCUGGAUGUAAUAGUCAAUUAUAAUGAUGUAAUGCAUUUUUGUCACCCCAUGCUGAAUUCAGUAAAAAUAAAGUUAAUGUCUUGGAGCUUUUAAAA